AUUGAACGCUGGCGGCAGGCCUAACACAUGCACGUCGAACGAGUGGCGGACGGGUGAGUACUGUCUGGGAAACUGCCCGAUGGAGGGGGAUACCUACUGGAAACGGUAGCUAAUACCGCAUACCAUCGGAUGUGCCCAGAUGGGAUUAGCUUGUAGGUGGGGUAACGGCUCACCUAGGCGACGAUCCCUAGCUGGUCUGAGAGGAUGACCAGGAACACUGGAACUGGGACACGGUCCAGACUCCUACGGGAGGAAGCAGGGGGGAAUAGUGCACAAUGGGCGCAAGCCUGAUGCAGCCAUGCCGCGGGUAUGAAGAAGGCCGUCGGGUUGUAAAGUACUUUCAGCGAGGAGGCGUUAAUCGCAGAAGAAGCCCCGGCUAACUCCGUGCCAGCCGCCGCGGUAAUUC
rnacentral:rRNA from 1 species